AAUUUUGUAGAUUCUUAUCUGCCCUUGUGAAAAUGAAACAAUAUCACACUGUCUUUUCCAUGUCCAAAACAAUUGAAUUGCUAGGAAUCUCUCACGAUGUUUAUUCUCUUAACAUCUUAAUUAAUUGCUUCUGCCGUUUACAUCUUGUGGAUUUUGGCUUCUCUGUUUUUGGUAAGAUGCUCAAAUUCGGAUUGGAGCCUGACGUUGUGACAUUUACUACCUUAAUUAAUGGGCUUUGUAUAGAGAGUAAAAUCGACAAAGCAGUGGAAUUUUUCGAUGAUAUGGUUGCACGUGGUUAUCAACCUAAUGUUCGUACUUUCAAUGUGAUAGUAAACGGAUUGUGUAAAUUUGGGAAAACAAAUGUGGCUAUUGGGCUACUAAAGGGAAUGACUGAUAGAGGUUGUGAGCCAAAUGUUGUGACAUACAGUGCAAUCAUUGACGCCCUUUGCAAAGAUGAGCUAGUUGGUGAGGCUUUAGAGCUCUUCUCUCAAAUGAGGAAUAAGGGCAUUUCACCUGAUGUCAUCACUUACACUAGUUUAAUUCAUGGUGUUUGCAAAUUAGGCCAAAAGAACCAAGCUUUAGCCUUGAUGAAUGAAAUGGUGGAGCAGAACAUAUCACCUGAUGUUUACACCUUCAGUGUAUUGAUUGAUGCUCUUUGUAAGGAUGGAAUGGUUUCAGAGGCUCAAAAUACAUUCAAUGUAAUGAUUCAAAGAGGUGUAGAGCCUGAUGUGGUCACUUACAAUUCCUUAAUCGAUGGUCUUUGCAUUUCAGACCAAUUCAAGGAAGCUUUGUCCUUGUUGAAAGAAAUGGUGGGGAGGAACAUAUCCCCUGAUGUUUUUACCUUCAAUAUAUUGAUCGACACUCUUUGUAAGAAAGGACUGGUUUCAAAUUCAGAGAGUAUAAUCAAAAUAAUGAUUCAAAGAGGUGUGGAACCUGAUGUUGUCACUUAUAAUUCAUUGAUGGAUGGAUAUUGUCUAGGCAGCCAAAUUGAUAAGGCUAGAAAGCUAUUUGAUCUGAUGGUGACCAAUGAAAUAGCUGGCAUUUUUAGCUACAACAUUUUGAUCAAUGGAUAUUGUAAGUGCAAAAUGAUAGAUGAUGCAAAGCAGAUUUUUUAUGAAAUAUCUCAUAAAGGUUUAGUUCCUGAUGCUUUUACCUAUCAUACUCUUAUAAAGGGUAUGUUUCAAGCAGGGAGGCCCCAAACUGCAAAAGUGCUCUUUAAGGAUAUGUGCUCUCAUGGUCAACAGCCAAAUAUAGUAACCUUCUCAAUUAUGAUUGAUGGCUUGUGUAGACAGGGGAAUCUCGAUGAGGCACUCACCCUAUUGAAAGCAAUGGAGAAAAGUGAGUUGAAGCCUAAUUUUGUGAUCUAUAGCAGUCUGAUCAAUGGUAUGUGCAAAGUUGGGAAGAUUAAUGAUGCCAAGGAACUUUUUUAUAGUCUUUUUGAAAUUGGUUUACAACCUGAUGUUUAUGUAUAUAAUGCAAUUAUGAAAGGACUCUGCCAACAAGGAUUAACGGAUGAAGCUUAUAAGGUAUUUAAAGACAUGGAAAAGGUAGGAUGUUUACCAAAUAAUUGUUGUUAUAAUAUCAUCAUUCAAGGGUUUCUCAGGCAUGAGGAUUUACCAAAAGCAUCAGAAUUAAUCAAUGAAAUGGUUGAUAAGGGGUUCUCUUCUAAUGAUGCUACCACAGAAUUGGUAGUACAUUUAUCGCGGAAUAAUGAUCUCAUUCUGAGGCUUUUAAAGGUGCGCAAUGAGGGAUCAACAAACUAAAGUUGUUAUAUCUUGACCAUUCAAGUGUGUCUUGGAGCACAACUUGGUAAUUACCUUUUUCAAAUAUAAUAGAUAUGUAAUUUAACUAAUUUCUUCAAAUAUCAUUUUUAAUUUCAAUCAGCUGUGAUUCUCUUCUACAAAAUGAAAUUUUCUAACACCGCAAAUGACCUGUCAUGGUUUACCACGAGCAGACUCGCGAAUAAACUCGUAAAUAGUUUCGUUAAGCAGGCUGAAAUUAAUAAUAUAAGAGAAAUAAAUUCAAAUCUUACAUAUACUUUUAUGAGUCAAAUUUAAAUUUUAUAAAGUUCAAUUUAAUAUUGUGUAAUUAGACUAUUAAAACUUGCAUAUAUUUGGAUCGUUAAGAGUUCAUCUUUAUAAGUUUAAGAGCUAAUUUGUAUAUGUGAAGGUCAGCUGUUUGCUUGAUGUGGGACGUCCCUCUCAUCGGCAGAGUACGAAAAAUCAAAAUUGUAUAUAAUAGUUAAUUACGAAACUACUAAAUAACUUGGAUUAACUAUUUUGGGCCAAGUGGAAAGUAGGUCAAAAGUUAUUUGGGUUAGUUUGGGCCGGAUUGUUAUGCUUACUUAAUGUAGGAAGACGUCCCACAUCGACGGAAAAUGAAACUACAAGUAAAAAGUGGGCACUUUCCAAAAAUUAUUUAGGUGGGUCGAGCCGUUUCAGUAUAUAUACUUAUUUAGUUUUAAACUAAAACUCAUUACACAUAUAAAUAAAUUAAAUUAUUGGUGAAUUAUUUGAGACUAAACUCAAUAAAAACUUGACUAGUCUAAGUUUAUUUGCUAAAAGAGUCAAAUUUGAACUUAUUAAUACUCCACUUAAAAAAAUUUUAACGGACUAAAUUUGAACUCUUCAAAACGAUUAGUUUACACUCUAAGUAAAUUUUAAAAAGUGUUUAAAUUACUAAUAAGCUCUAAAUCCAAAUUACCAAAAAAUUACUAACGGAUUUGAAAAUCCGUUACUAAACUUUAUCAUCAAAUUAAUAAGUAAAAAAAAAAUAUUAAAUUUAUCAACAGAUGCUACCUGCUAGUAAAUCCGUUGAUAAAUUUAAAAUAAAAUCCUACAUAAAAUUCUUUCUUUUUUUUUUUACAACUCACAUUUUUCAGUUACCAACGGAUUUGCUAAUAAAUUUUAGUAACGAAUUACAAAUUUAUUAAUAAUUCGCGUUUAUAAAUAUAACACCAGCUCCUCUGCUUUUAUUAUUCGUUCAUCUUAUCAUCCGCCUUUCUUCCAUUUUUUCCCUUUCUCUCAUUUUCAUUCUUUUUCUUUCUUUCUUUCAUUUCACUUUUUUAUCUCAUAAUUUUUUUUUCUAUUAUUUUUCUUUCAUCUCUUAUCCUAUUUUCUCUAAUUCUCUUUCGUCUUCUAUUACUCUUUUUCAUUUUUCAUUUUCUCCAUUUUCUUUUCCAUCUUUUUAUUUCCUUUCCUCUUAUCUUCUUCAUUUUUUCUAUAAUUUUCAUUCAUAUUAAUUUUUUAAUAUUAUUUUCUCCUAUCAUUUUCUUUCUAUCUAUAUUUUUCUAUUAUUUUAUCUUUAUUUAUUUUCUUCUCUAAUCAUUUGUUCAUUUUUUUUCAUUUUUCUAAUUAUCUUUUUACUCAACUCUCAUUCUUUCUUCUUUUUCAUAAUUUUUAUUUUUCUAUCAUUUUCUUUAUUUUUCUCUUUUUUCUUUCUUUUUUAUUAUUUUCUCUCAUUUUGUACUAUUUGUUUUUUUUUUUAUUUGCACUUUCUAUGUAUUUCUAAUAAAUAUUGAAUAUAAAUUAAAAACUUAAUAACAAUAAUAAUAUAAUUUUAAGUCUUAUUAAAUUAAUAAAAAAUUAUUUAAAUUCUUAAUAAAUUUACUAAUGGAAUGCAAUUCGUUAAUAAUUUACUAACGGAUUUCACAUAUGUUAAUAAAUUAUUUUUCUUUUAUACUAACAGAUUUAAAAUUUGUUAGUAAUUUGGAAUCUGUCGGUAAUAAUAAUGAAAACUCCGUUAAUAAAUCCGCUAGUAUUACUAACGAAUUUGAAAGUCGGUAAAAAUUUACCGUCAAACUUUUUAACAACGGAUCGUAAUCUAUUAGUAAUCAAUUGUUAAUUUAUUUACCAUUGGAUUUUUAUUGAAUUGCCAAUGAAAAAAUCACUGCAUUAUCAAUACAAAUUAAGAAGUUGUUGAUUCAUAUAUUUACAAUAAAAUGUCUUUUAAACUCUUAAGACUUUUGAAGCUAAAAUUGAAAAAACAUUCAUGAUGUUGUAUUUCUCCUUUGGUUGAAAUUGUUAUUCAUGCAAGAUGAUUUUUUCUGUUGUAACACUUUGGAAUGAUGUCUAUUAUUGGAAUGCAUAUGAUUGUUUGACUAAUAUAAAACAGAUAUAAGAAGUAUAUAGUUAAAAAGAUAAUUAUAAUUUUUAGCAAUAAACAUUUAAUAAAAAUAUUAAAUUUUUGAUAAUUUUAUAUUUUUAUGAUUAGAUUCACACAAUAAUUUAAUUUUCUAAUUUAACAUUUAUUAUGUAAUCUUAUAAAUAAAAUGUUUAUAAUUUUAAUUUUUAUGAAAUUUUGUACAUAAAUAUAUUCAUACUUUAAAAAUAUUAUUCUUAUAAUUUAUAAUACAAUAUAAUGUCUAUUAAAUGCAUAGAAAUAAUUUACAUAUUAUAAAUUUACGUUAAUAUUAUUAAUAAUAAAAUAAAAUUUAAAAUGCAAAAUAUAUUUAGUGAGUUUAACAUUUCAAAAUUUUAUUAUUUUGAAAUAAUUUUAUAUAUUAAUUUUUUACUGAUAUUAAUUAAAAUUAUAAUAUUAUUCAAAUAAAAUGUCAAAAUAAAAAUGUGCCAAACAGUUCUCAUGAGAGUNNNNNNNNNNNNNNNNNNNNNNNNNNNNNNNNNNNNNNNNNNNNNNNNNNNNNNNNNNNNNNNNNNNNNNNNNNNNNNNNNNNNNNNNNNNNNNNNNNNNNNNNNNNNNNNNNNNNNNNNNNNNNNNNNNNNNNNNNNNNNNNNNNNNNNNNNNNNNNNNNNNNNNNNNNNNNNNNNNNNNNNNNNNNNNNNNNNNNNNNNNNNNNNNNNNNNNNNNNNNNNNNNNNNNNNNNNNNNNNNNNNNNNNNNNNNNNNNNNNNNNNNNNNNNNNNNNNNNNUUCAAUUAAAUAUAAGGUACGGUUAUAAUAAAAUAUUAUUUUUAUGAAAAUAAAUUUAAUUAAAUCUCUAUAUUUUUAUUAAGAGUCACAUAAAUUCAAUUUAAAAUUUUUAAAAUUUUAAGCUAAUUAAACUAUGUAAUUUUAUUAAAGGCUAAAUAGAUUCUAACUUAAUAUUAUUUUUUAAUAAUAAAAUAUUAUUUUUAUAAUUUAAAACAUUAAAAUUUUAGUAUUUUAAUUAAAAUUAAAAAUUUUAAAAUAUAUAUAAAUAUAAUAAAUAAUUUCUAAAAUUAUAUAAAUAAAGUUUUAUCAUAUAAAAAUUUUUAUUAUUAAAAAAUAAUAUUAUGUUAAAUUAUGAUUUAUUUAAUUUUUGAGUAAUAAUAUAGAGAUUUAAUUUAUCCAAAAUUUUAAAUUAAAAUUAUUUAACUCUUCAAUAACGUGAGACUUAAUUGCAUUUAUAUUUACAAAAUUAUUUAUUAUAAAAUGAUAAAUUUAAUUUGUUAUUAAAUAAUAUUUUUAUAUGAAAAAUUAAUAAAAAAAUUACAAAAUGUGGCGCAUAUAAACAAUUCCUAAUUUCCUUUUGUUAUCCAUGCCACUUUACCAGCUGGCAGAGAGCCUUCCUUUUCCAAUUCUCUAUUUCCUUUCCUCAUUCCAAAUCUCCGAUCCAUCCCUAAAAACAACUGACGAGAGAUCGAUGAUGAUGAAGAUGCCUUGGAGGAGGAAGAGUAGGAGCUUACAUGUUCAACUACAAGGGGCAAUUGGUACCACUCAAUCUCCAUUCCUAUUCUUGUUUACCAAUUAUUGCCAUUCUUCUACUUCCACACUUGAAGAUGCACGCUUCUUGACAAAUAACUUCAAAUCUGCUUCUUUUACCCACCUUGAUGAUGCCAUUGCUUCCUUCAAUCAUGUAAUUCAUAAGCAUCCUCUGCCUUCUAGGGUUCCAUUUAAUAGAUUCUUAUCUGCCCUUGUGAAAAUGAAACAAUAUCACACUGUCCUUUCCAUGUCCAAAACAAUUGAAUUGCUAGGAAUCUCACACAAUCUUUAUUCUCUUAGUAUCUUAAUUAAUUGCUUCUGCCAUUUACACCUUGUGGAUUUUGGCUUCUCUGUUUUUGGUAAGAUGCUCAAAUUCGGAUUGGAGCCUGACGUUGUGACAUUUGCUACCUUAAUUAAUGGGCUUUGUAUAGAGAGUAAAAUCGACAAAGCAGUGGAAUUUUUCGAUGAUAUGGUUGCACGUGGUUAUCAACCUAAUGUUCGUACUUUCAAUGUGAUAGUAAACGGAUUGUGUAAAUUUGGGAAAACAAAUGUGGAAUGGUUUCAGAGGCUCAAAAUACAUUCAAUGUAAUGAUUCAAAGAGGUGUAGAGCCUGGUGUGAUCACAUACACAUCCUUAAUUGAUGGUCUUUGCAUUUCAGACCAAUUCAAGGAAGCUUUGGCCUUGUUGAAAGAAAUGGUAGGGAGGAACAUAUCCCCUGAUGUUUUUAC
rnacentral:lncRNA from 1 species